rnacentral:rRNA from 1 species
AGCGGCGCGCUUAAUGCAUGCAAGUCGAGCGAUGAGACUCCUACGGGAGCACAUCAGCGGCAGACGGGUGAGUAACACGUAGAUGACGUACCCUCAAGACGGGGAUAACGGAUGGAAACAUGCGCUAAUACCGGAUGACCUUACGAUGUCAGAAUGGUAAGGAAAGCUACGGCGCUUGAGGAGCGGUCUGCGGCCCAUCAGCUAGUUGGUAGGGUAAAGGCCUACCAAGGCGAAGACGGGUAGGGGGUGUGAGAGCACGGCCCCCCACAAUGGGACUGAGACACGGCCCAUACUCCUACGGGAGGCAGCAGCAGGGAAUAUUGCACAAUGGACGGAAGUCUGACGCAGCGACGCCGCGUGAGUGAAGAAGGCCUUCGGGUUGUAAAACUCUUUUGAGGGGGAAGAGCGAGGACGGUACCCCUGGAAUAAGCGUCGGCUAACUACGUGCCAGCAGCCGCGGUAAGACGUAGGACGCGAGCGUUAUCCGGAUUUACUGGGCGUAAAGCGUCUGUAGGCGGAUCUGUAAGUCGGGUGUGAAAGCUCUGGGCUCAACCCGGGAAGUGCGCCCGAUACCGUUGGUCUUGAGUGCUCGUCAGGGGAGCGCGGAAUUCCCGGUGUAGAGGUGAAAUGCGCAGAUAUCGGGAAGAACACCGGUGGCGGAGGGGGCGCUCUGGAUGGAUACUGACGCUGAGACACGAAAGCGUGGGGAGCGAACAGGAUUAGGUACCCUGGUAGUCC